rnacentral:rRNA from 1 species
GACGAAGGUGGCGAGCGUUGUUCGGUGUUACUGGGCUUAAAGCGUAUGUAGGCGGGAAAGUAUGCGCCUUGUGAAAUCCCCCGGCUUAACCGGGGAAUCGCUUGGCGAACUGCUUUUCUUGAGGCAAGUAGGGGUGCAUGGAACUCUUGGUGGAGCGGUGGAAUGCGUAGAUAUCAAGAGGAACGCCAAAGGUGAAAACAGUGCACUGGGCUUGUCCUGACGCUCAGAUACGAAAGCGUGGGGAG